AUGCUAGAUUAGCUGCCUGACCAAAAAUCAGGCAAGGGCUGGUGAAUUUUUAUUCACCGGCCU
rnacentral:sRNA from 1 species